rnacentral:sRNA from 1 species
UGGCGGACCUGCUGUACUGGAAGGACACGAGGACGUCAGGAGUGGUCUUCACAGGCCUGAUGGUCUCCCUCCUCUGCCUCCUGCACUUUAGCAUCGUGUCCGUGGCCGCGCACGUGGCUCUGUUGCUGCUCUGCGGCACCAUCUCUCUCAGGGUUUACCGCAAAGUGCUGCAGGCCGUGCACCGGGGGGAUGGAGCCAACCCUUUCCAGGCCUACCUGGAUGUGGACCUCACCCUGACUCGGGAGCAGACGGAACGUUUGUCCCAGCAGAUCACCUCCCGCGUGGUCUCGGCAGCCACGCAGCUGCGGCAUUUCUUCCUGGUAGAAGACCUCGUGGAUUCCUUCAAGGUGGCCUGGAGCUCUCAGCCCCUCCUGGGUUCCCCCAUUCACCUCUGCAUGGCUAGGGGGUGGGAGGGCGACUGUUGGGUAAAUUCAC